UAACACAUGCAAGUCGAACGGUAACAGGAAGCAGCUUGCUGCUUCGCUGACGAGUGGCGGACGGGUGAGUAAUGUCUGGGAAGCUGCCUGAUGGAGGGGGAUAACUACUGGAAACGGUAGCUAAUACCGCAUAAUGUCGCAAGACCAAAGAGGGGGACCUUCGGGCCUCUUGCCAUCGGAUGUGCCCAGAUGGGAUUAGCUUGUUGGUGGGGUAACGGCUCACCAAGGCGACGAUCCCUAGCUGGUCUGAGAGGAUGACCAGCCACACUGGAACUGAGACACGGUCCAGACUCCUACGGGAGGCAGCAGUGGGGAAUAUUGCACAAUGGGCGCAAGCCUGAUGCAGCCAUGCCGCGUGUAUGAAGAAGGCCUUCGGGUUGUAAAGUACUUUCAGCGGGGAGGAAGGGAGUAAAGUUAAUACCUUUGCUCAUUGACGUUACCCGCAGAAGAAGCACCGGCUAACCCCGUGCCAGCAGCCGCGGUAAUACGGAGGGUGCAAGCGUUAAUCGGAAUUACUGGGCGUAAAGCGCACGCAGGCGGUUUGUUAAGUCAGAUGUGAAAUCCCCGGGCUCAACCUGGGAACUGCAUCUGAUACUGGCAAGCUUGAGUCUCGUAGAGGGGGGUAGAAUUCCAGGUGUAGCGGUGAAAUGCGUAGAGAUCUGGAGGAAUACCCGGUGGCGAAGGC
rnacentral:rRNA from 1 species